rnacentral:rRNA from 1 species
GACGAACGCUGGCGGCGUGCUUAACACAUGCAAGUCGAGCGGUAAGGCCCUUUCGGGGGUACACGAGCGGCGAACGGGUGAGUAACACGUGGGUGACCUGCCCUCAGCUCUGGGAUAAGCCUGGGAAACCGGGUCUAAUACUGGAUAUGACUCCAUGACGCAUGUUGUGGGGUGGAAAGCCUUGUGCGGCUGAGGAUGGGCCCGCGGCCUAUCAGCUUGUUGGUGGGGUGANGGCCUACCAAGGCGACGACGGGUAGCCGGCCUGAGAGGGCGACCGGCCACACUGGGACUGAGACACGGCCAGACUCCUACGGGAGGCAGCAGUGGGGAAUCUUGCGCAAUGGGCGAAAGCCUGACGCAGCGACGCCGCGUGAGGGAUGACGGCCUGGUU